rnacentral:tRNA from 2 species
GGGGUUGUAGUUAAAAAUAACAUUUAAUUUGCAAUUAAAAAGUACUUAUAUUAGUCUUCCUCA